GACGAACCUUGCAAACGUUAUUCGGAAUUACUGGGCUUAAAGGGUGCGUAGGCUGUGCAGAAAGUUGGGUGUGAAAUCCCUCGGCUCAACCGAGGAAUUGCAUUCAAAACUACUGUGCUAGAGGAAUACAGAGGUAAGCGGAACUUAGGGUGGAGCGGUGAAAUGCGUUGAUAUCCUAAGGAACACCGGUGGCGAAAGCGGCUUACUGGGUAUUUUCUGACGCUGAUGCACGAAAGCUAGGGUAGCGAACGGGAUUAGAUACCCCGGUAGUCCUAGCCGUAAACGAUGAGCACUGGGUUGGAGGGUCCUCCAUAGCCUUCCAGCCGCAGCGAAAGUGUUAAGUGCUCCGCCUGGGGAGUAUGGUCGCAAGGCUGAA
rnacentral:rRNA from 1 species